rnacentral:lncRNA from 1 species
CAGAUUUUGUUGGGUCAGGGAAUGUGUGUUUCCGGGGAUCAGAGUUUGGCCACGUGUAGAAAUUAAUGAUUAUCUUCCAUCCUCUCCAUGAGGGCUGCUUCAAAUAUCAAAGAGAACCCAGCAGGAGGCUGGGUGUCUGAAGAUCGUAAAAAGAAUCUCACAAGCUUCGAUACCUGUCAGGCCUGAGAGCCCAAUGAAGGACCUCCAAUAUUCCCACCACUGUGCAAAUUCAGUGGUGAGUCUCAGCAGAUUUCACAAGUUCCUACCUGGACCAAGCUAUAUCCUGUGCGCUGGACCAGUGCGCGGAGGGCUGCUUCCUUCUGAGUGCCGCUCAAUCCAUCCCC